UUUCUUUGUUUAUCAACAAUAUUGGCAGUACACAUGGUUCAGCGGAAGUGACGUUUUUACUAGCAAUCAUGUAAGCAUUUCCAAUCCCUCUCCCUCUACUAUCAAUGGUUCAACCAUAGAUUGAACAGUAGGAGGGAUUGGAAACGACCAUGCAGGCCCCUCUGUGUAAACCGGUGAAACACUCCGCGUUAUGAUUUUGCGCUCGCUUAGUUUUUACUGUACUCUAGUUGUAUAUUUCAACUGUUUCUAGCUCUCCUAUCCACUAGCGAUCACUCAGAGGCUGGGAGGUACUCUAGAGAAGUAAAUUUACACCACUGACUAAGUAAAUUGUCUUUUACUCCGUUUUUGAGUUUAGCCCAUGUCAACUUUUCUCUUUCCCUCCUGUGAAGAUGAAACAGCAAAGACAUUGCUUGACUUGGUUAUUAUGUAUCUCAGUGCUAUAUAGCAUGGUUUCAUGCUAUGGAUAAGCUGUACUGUUUAUAAACAUUUGCGGUAUAUAGUCUUGCUUUAGUGUACUUUUAGACACACCACGGGCCUUGACCUCUCACGACUUCAUAGUAAUAAGGGCUAUUCCUUCUUGUAUAGCAUUUAUUUGUUUAGUGAUAGUGGCUGAGUUGCUUAGUCGACAUUUAGAGCUACAUUCUCUUUAAUUUUUAGAAUAAUCGUGAUCAUUAAAAGUGAUCAAUUUCACCAUUUCUAUGUACAGCACAUUGUAUGGCAGCAAGACAGGUAAUGAGCAUGCUGACUAUAUAUAUAAUCCUUUGUAGUUUUAGCCACGCCCUAUAACGCGGAGUGUUUCACGCAAACAUGUUCCUUUCCAAUCCUUCCUACUGUUCUAUCUAUGGUUCAACCAUUUUUUCACCUAUUUUCGAUAACCAAAGAUGGUACUAGUCACGUGAUGUUAGCCUAUAAUUAUAAUAUGUUUCCUACGUGUUACAUUAUUAUUUAACCUCUGAACUCUAAACACUUUAUGUCUUGUCUCUUCAGAACACUGCUGGUGACGACCAAAGUGACAAGGUAAGUACAACUACUCACAAAUGUGUGGUAAUCUACUCUCUAGACUGCAAGCACUGUAGAAUGGCAGCUCUAUCCACACAUUCUGGAUCACACCGACUACAGGAGAGUCGACUGUGACCUGUUUGUGGAGAAGAGCAUCAGUUUAAGGGAGGCCUUGUGUGGCUUCACUUGCACUCUGUACCCCCUGGACGGGAGGAACAUGGGUGUGUCCAGGUCACCAGGAGCAGUGCUGUCACCAGGUGAGUAGGUGGCUGGUAGGAGGAGGAUUGUGUAUAGGGCUGCCUUUGAGAGGAGUGUACAUACAAGCUAUUAUAGUGUGUCCCAGCCUUACAAGCUGAGGGGACAUGUGUUAGGGUUAGGUACCUUAGGACUGUUGAUCUGGCAGCUUUAACAAGACUUAGGCUAUUUAUUAUCAAGGGCGUAUACACCCUUGUUAUUAUCCAUGAGAACCAAAGCAACUGAAUUGAAAGUGAUAGCUAAGAGUACCAGUGUGAAGGAGAGAGGUUCAUUGAGGUGUACUGGCAUGGCUGUCUUAUAUAUAGUGACAUCCUUCUUGUUCUUCAAUACACUGUAGAGGUGGUGUGGCCAAAUUGGCAAAUACCGUGUAGCGGAUAUUUCGAGGGUAUAAAUGUUUGUGGUUUUUGCUGAUCAAGCAUCUACCGCGAACAUUUAUUCCCACGAAUUUAAUAUCGCACACAUACACGCUGCAGAAAGACUGCUAUUCUGAAUUCCUGAAAACCUUUCUAACAGUCAAUCCGCAAAAGUGUAUACCCUCGAAAUAUACCCGCUAUACGGUAGUUUUAUCACUCAAAUAUGAAAUUUGAUGAUAUCAUUUUAGAGAAGAAGCUCUUUCAGAUGCUUAAUUCCCAAAUUUGGAACGGGUCAUAAUUAGGGUUAGGUAUAGGACUUUUGAUCUUUAUUUCCUCACUUCAUGUGUAUGUAUUUAUAGUCUUGUGGUCAUGUGCAAUACUAACAGUGGUUGUGUUGUGUGGGCAGUAUUGUACGUAGGUACAUGUACAGUUGCUAAAAAGCUACGAAAACUCUGCCAAUCUAAUUACAACAUACUGAAAGUAGUAUCAAUUGAGUUUACAAUGUGUGUGUACAUGUACAGUACA